rnacentral:lncRNA from 1 species
UAGGAUGGUGAUGUCUCCAGAGCAUCCUUAAUUAGAAUGAUUAAAUAACAGGAAGUGUCAAAUUGAUGAUGUCUUUUAGGCUCUAUAUGCCUCAAAGAUUGGUUGCUAUGCGUAAGGUUUGAUCUUGCUUUAGAUCAAGAGUAACAAGAAGGGGUGAAACCUCAAUUUCGGGCAGCAGCGAGGAUCUAGAAGGGGGUUGAAGCACCAGAAAAGAAACAUGAGAAAGAAAAGAGG